GACCGAUUAUGGCAAACUAAAGCGAUUUCUGAAAUAUGCAGUUGUUCAUAAACAUAUGUUCUCAUUAGUUCGAUACGCUGCGAAAAGCCCCGUACACUUCGCAGAGAAGCCUGAACUACUGAGCCGUCCUCCCUCAAGAUACCAGCCUCUGUAACAGAACCCAGUAGCCAGUAUCGAUUUCCAACUGAAAAGAUGUGCUCUAAAAGCUUUGGGAAAUGUGCGAUGAGGCUCAUCUCUCUCUCUCUCCACUUGUUCACUUGUUUUGAUUGUGAAAAGUGUUCCUGCGGAGGCAAAGAUUCAGCACCGCAACACAGUAAGGACAAAUUAUAAGUUUCCGAUUUCUACCGGAAAAUGCUGUAUACAUUUUUUAGGAAAAUAAACUGAAGGAACAGAACAUCCACCCUAACUGGUAAUAAAACGUUUGUACAGUGUUUGUGUUGUACAGUGUGAUUGUUAGUCUGACUGAUGCUAGCUUUUUAUUGUCAUCUAUACCAUCAAUUUAUGAAAAUGAAGUAGGAAAUUAUGAAAGAGAAUGGCAUGGUGCACUGCUAUAUUUCAGAGAGUGAUUACAGCUGGAGAUUGUGUGUAUUAUUUUCAUAAUAUUUUUUCGAGAAGAUGUUGAGUAAUUGUCAUGGUAGAUUGGUUCUGAUCUCAUAAUCGCCAGAGAGAGAAAUUUGAGUUCAUAUGCUGUUUGUACAAAUUGGGUGGCUUAAAAAUAAUCAAUAAUCAACUCACUUGAGCAUGAGAUAUUUCUAAUCAGUAUCAAAAAGGUUUAAUGAAUCAAACAUCAACUGAAUAUAGGAAAACCGCCCACAGUAAUCUCCCCCGCCAACAGAAAUAU